rnacentral:rRNA from 1 species
AUUGAACGCUGGCGGCAGGCCUAACACAUGCAAGUCGAGCGGAUGAAGGGAGCUUGCUCCCGGAUUCAGCGGCGGACGGGUGAGUAAUGCCUAGGAAUCUGCCUGGUAGUGGGGGAUAACGUCCGGAAACGGGCGCUAAUACCGCAUCCGUCCUGAGGGAGAAAGUGGGGGAUCUUCGGACCUCACGCUAUCAGAUGAGCCUAGGUCGGAUUAGCUAGUUGGUGGGGUAAAGGCCUACCAAGGCGACGAUCCGUAACUGGUCUGAGAGGAUGAUCAGUCACACUGGAACUGAGACACGGUCCAGACUCCUACGGGAGGCAGCAGUGGGGAAUAUUGGACAAUGGGCGAAAGCCUGAUCCAGCCAUGCCGCGUGUGUGAAGAAGGUCUUCGGAUUGUAAAGCACUUUAAGUUGGGAGGAAGGGCAGUAAGUUAAUACCUUGCUGUUUUGACGUUACCAACAGAAUAAGCACCGGCUAACUUCGUG